ensembl:lncRNA
GCGUUGGUCGCUUUGGUCGCUUUGGUCGCUCUUGCCCAUAGAAAGUGAAUGACUUCCGGCGAUUUGGUAGCUCAAUUCGCUUCUGGUGUGGACUAGGGCUCCGCGACAUGGACUGAAUCCGAGUGGUUUCACAAAGGCCGUUUUACGUGGGAUUGUAUGCCCCCUGCGGUCGAAGUGAUAAUGGCUACCAAUCACUCUUGUCUACCCUGCACUUUUGUUGCGAUAUCUGGAGACAACUUCUAUUUUCAAGUUAACGACGAUGAAACAGAUUUGCAGUGUGAUUCAUAUCAAAUAGCCACAACAUCCAAGGCCAAGCAUUGUCUCCUAGUCCAAGACAACUGCUUUCUCUCAGUUACUGGAGAACAGUGUCACUUUGUGCAUUUAAACAGGGAGGAAGGAGGACCUGACUGUCAGUUCAUCGUUCAACCGUUCAACGAGACCCCGGACUCCCCCCACUCUGAGGCUAGAGGAAGGGCCGUCACCCUGGCUGUUAGGGAGGAGAGCAAGUACAAGGUGGUGUCCUGUCGGGAGGGCAGCAACGACAUCAAGGUGGAGAUCAUGAAUAAACUUCCAGAGACAGUCGGCGACACUGACUGCUGGUUCUUGUUCUACAUGAAGGACUGUAUUGGGAGGAGUGGGCACUACCUGUUCGUGUCCGCUGCCAAGCCGAAAUUCGCCCUGGCCAUCGAACCGGAACAAGGGACUACCCGAAUAAACAAACUAGUGUUGCGACAAUUAGAUGAUGAGGUGGACGAGGGCUGCCACAUUGCAGUGCCUCCAGGGCGU